AUUGAACGCUGGCGGCAUGCCUUACACAUGCAAGUCGAACGGCAGCACGGGGCAACCUGGUGGCGAGUGGCGAACGGGUGAGUAAUGCAUCGGAACGUACCUUUCAGUGGGGGAUAACGUAGCGAAAGUUACGCUAAUACCGCAUAUUCUGUGAGCAGGAAAGCAGGGGAUCGCAAGACCUUGCGCUGAUUGAGCGGCCGAUGUCAGGUUAGCUAGUUGGUGAGGUAAAGGCUCACCAAGGCGACGAUCUGUAGCGGGUCUGAGAGGAUGAUCCGCCACACUGGAACGGAGACACGGUCCAGACUCCUACGGGAGGCAGCAGUGGGGAAUUGUGGACAAUGGGGGCAACCCUGAUCCAGCCAUGCCGCGUGAGUGAAGAAGGCCUUCGGGUUGUAAAGCUCUUUCGGCCGGGAAGAAAUCGCACGGGCUAAUACCCUGUGUGGAUGACGGUACCGGAAUAAGAAGCACCGGCUAACUACGUGCCAGCCGCCGCGGUAACAC
rnacentral:rRNA from 1 species